GGACGUCGUCGGCGGGGCCGUCGUCGUCCGGGACGACGAGCUGGCCGACAAGGUCGGGUUCCUGCAGUUCGGGGCCGGAGGCGUCUC
rnacentral:tRNA from 1 species